GGCCGCUGGAUGUCACCCUUGUGCCGUGCGUGCCCGGGCUGUCCCCUCCGCGGGCAGCGCGCUGGCUGCGCACACGCGUGUGCCCGCGGCCGCGCAGCUCCGUGCGCACACGCAGAGACACGCGGGGCCCCGGCGGCUCCGUCCCCCCGGCGGGCUCCGUCCCCCCGGCAGGCUCCGUCCCCCCGGCGGGCUCCGUCCCCCCGGGAUUUCCCAACUCCUGGCCGGACGCGGCGCCCCUGCAGCCCCCCCCGCCCUGCCCCGACCUUUGCACGAAUCCCCCAGCGCGGCCGUCGGGAGGGUAUAAAGAGGGAGCCGGGGCUGCCCCCGCGCCAUAGGCACAGCCAUGAAGGCGUCGCUGCUGUUCCUGCUCGCCUGCACGGCCGUCCUGGCGGUGGGAGCAAGGGCCGACUCGCCCGAGGAGCCGAAGGCGCUGGUGCAGAAGGUGCAGGAGCUGACCCAGAAAGCCACGGCCAUGGCCAAGGACGCCUUCAGCAGGGUGCGGGAGUCGGAGGCGGCAAAGCAGGCCAGGCAGUGGCUGUCGGACAACGCGGAGCUGGCGAAGCAGCGGCUGGCGUGGCUGAAGGAGCAGCUGGCGGAGCUGCUGAAGAAGACUCCGGCCGCGUAGCCUCACCGGGGGCUGCUCGGGGUCUGUCGGGGCCGGGGACCCCCCGGCUCCCCCCCGCUGUCGUGGUGCUCUCAAUAAAGCAGGGCUGAGGCAAACGCUGCGGUGCCGUCUCUGGGGGCUGGCAGGGAGGAGUGUGACCCGCAGGGGGACCGGGCUGGGGCGGACGCGAGCACUGGGGUACACACGGCCGUGUUGGGGUGCUCGGGGUGACAGCAGCCGAG
rnacentral:lncRNA from 1 species